UACCAGCACCUCGAGUGGUCGGGACGAUUAUUGGGCCUAAAGCAUCCGUAGCCGGUCCUACAAGUCUUCCGUUAAAUCCACCUGCUCAACAGAUGGGCUGCGGAAGAUACUAUAGGGCUAGGAGGCGGGAGAGGCAAGCGGUACUCAGUGGGUAGGGGUAAAAUCCUCUGAUCCAUUGAAGACCACCAGUGGCGAAGGCGGCUUGCCAGAACGCGCUCGACGGUGAGGGAUGAAAGCUGGGGGAGCAAACCGG
rnacentral:rRNA from 1 species